GAUAAGGUUAAGUGAAUAAGGGCGCACGGUGGAUGCCUUGGCACUAGGAGCCGAUGAAGGACGGGACUAACACCGAUAUGCUUUGGGGAGCUGUACGUAAGCUAUGAUCCAGAGAUUUCCGAAUGGGGGAACCCAACAUCUUUAAUAGGAUGUUACGAUUGUGUGAAUACAUAGCACAUUCGAGGUAGACGCAGAGAACU
rnacentral:rRNA from 1 species